UAUACGACCGUACCGCAAACCGACACUGGUGCGCGAGAUGAGUAUUCUAAGGCGCUUGAGAGAACUCAGGAGAAGGAACUCGGCAAAUUGACACCGUAACUUCGGAAGAAGGUGUGCCCUAUUAGUGUGUAGUGAACAACGAAGCAUGAAUGGGUUGCAAAAAAUCGGUGGCUGCGACUGUUUAUUAAAAACACAGCACUCUGCAAACACGAAAGUGGACGUAUAGGGUGUGACGCCUGCCCGGUGCUGGAAGAUUAAAUGAUGGGGUGCAAGCUCUUGAUUGAAGUCCCAGUAAACGGCGGCCGUAACAAUAACGGUCCUAAGGUAGCGAAAUUCCUUGUCGGGUAAGUUCCGACCUGCACGAAUGGCGUAACGAUGGCCACACUGUCUCCUCCUGAGACUCAGCGAAGUUGAAAUGUUUGUGAUGAUGCAAUCUCCCCGCGGAAAGACGGAAAGACCCCAUGAACCUUUACUGUAGCUUUGUAUUGGACUUUGAACAGAUCUGUGUAGGAUAGGUGGGAGGCUUUGAAGCAGGGUCGCUAGAUCUUGUGGAGCCAACGUUGAAAUACCACCCUGGUGUGUUUGAGGUUCUAACCUAGGUCCAUUAUCUGGAUCGGGGACAGUGCAUGGUAGGCAGUUUGACUGGGGCGGUCUCCUCCCAAAGCGUAACGGAGGAGUUCGAAGGUACGCUAGUUACGGUCGGACAUCGUGACGAUAGUGCAAUGGCAUAAGCGUGCUUAACUGCGAGACUGACAAGUCGAGCAGAUGCGAAAGCAGGACAUAGUGAUCCGGUGGUUCUGUAUGGAAGGGCCAUCGCUCAACGGAUAAAAGGUACUCUGGGGAUAACAGGCUGAUACCGCCCAAGAGUUCAUAUCGACGGCGGUGUUUGGCACCUCGAUGUCGGCUCAUCUCAUCCUGGGGCUGUAGCCGGUCCCAAGGGUAUGGCUGUUCGCCAUUUAAAGAGGUACGUGAGCUGGGUUUAAAACGUCGUGAGACAGUUUGGUCCCUAUCUUCCGUGGGCGCUGCAGAUUUGAGGAAGCCUGCUCCUAGUACGAGAGGACCGGAGUGGACACACCUCUGGUGUAUCGGUUGUCACGCCAGUGGCAUUGCCGAGUAGCUAAGUGUGGAAGAGAUAACCGCUGAAAGCAUCUAAGCGGGAAACUCGUUUCAAGAUGAGAUCUGCCGGGGCCUUGAGCCCCCUAAAGAGUCGUUCAAGACCAGGACGUUGAUAGGUCAGGUGUGGAAGCUAAA
rnacentral:rRNA from 1 species